rnacentral:rRNA from 1 species
UACGUAGGGGGCAAGCGUUGUCCGGAAUCAUUGGGCGUAAAGAGCGUGUAGGCGGCCCGGUAAGUCCGCUGUAAAAGUCCAGGGCUCAACCCUGGAAAGCCGGUGGAUACUGUCGGGCUCGAGUCCGGAAGAGGCGAGUGGAAUUCCUGGUGUAGCGGGUGGAAUGCGCAGAUAUCAGGAGGAACACCAAUGGCGAAGGCAGCUCGCUGGGACGGUACUGACGCUGAGGCGCGAAAGCGUGGGGAGCAAACAGG